UGGCGUGCUCUGAGCGGUUAGGUCGACAUAGCUGCAGUGCUGAGCUGUGAAAAAUCCCCCCCUCCCCGGGCUGCAGCUGCCCCCCCCCUGCAGUGCAGAUGCAGCUGGGUGGUCCCGUCGUGGGGGGAGUUGGAACCCCUGUCGGGGGGCAUCGGCUGCGUCUGCCCUGCGGGGUUCGGCCAGCGCGUUCCAGGGCAUCGCUGGGCACCCAGCGUGCUGACGUGGGGGUCUCCGAGAGGGGCUCACGCCUGGUCCCGGCUCACCACCAGCUUGCCAACCCGCCGCUGAGCUGCCCUGGGGCUGGGCGGGGCCAUGAAGGUUCCUACUUAACCCCUCCCCCCCCCCGCAGCCCAGCCCUAGACAACGCUCCUGGAUGGGGUUCGGGGGCCAGGAACUCACCAGCUGUGCCCUAGCUCAUGGGCUGCCUCCCUGGCCCCACCUGGGGGUCAGGGCCCAGGGCGGAGCUGGUGAGUGCAGCCUGGAGCAGGGGCCUGGCCAUGGGGCUGGGCAGGGAACUGCCCCAGGGGGUCGGGCGCCAUUACCAGGGUUCUGCUGGGGGGACUCCGGCGGCAGGAUCGAGUCACAGAGCAAUAGGGGGCUGCCCGGCGCGGCGCGAGCCGAGAAACCAGCGCUGAGCCGGGCGGGGUUUCCGCACAGGCAGCAGAAGCUGGGGGCAACCCCCCCCCGCCAUGUUUUCAGAGCAGGGUCAAAGCUGCGGCGUUAUAAAGAGCAAACCCCAAGCUGGUGCAGCGGCUGCUGUUUGUCUGAGGGGCGGGGGCUGGCUGCACUCCCGAGAUGGGCAGCCGCAGCUGGGUCCGGGGAGCUCAGCAAAUCUGGCCCUUCGCCGUCAGGAGCCAAGCUGGGCCUGGCAUGGGGCACCCCUGGGGCACAGGCUGUACGUGCCCCCCCCCCCCCCCGGCGGGAGGAGGACCCUCGCUGCUCCUGUGGUGACCGUGUGAUGCCCGGGAAGGAGGCAGCGGCUGGAGCAGCCGGAGGCGCAGCCAGUCGCUGCUGGGACUCGGCCUGCCUGGGCUCCCGGCCCCGCUCUCUGGCCAGGUCGGAGUGCCAGGUGCUCGCCCCCAGCGCCGCCCGCGGGUGGGGCUCCUGCCAGCUGGGCGGCUUUGCUGGUGACAAACCCUGGCCCGUUGCCUUGGCGAUUUGCCCACAGUCGUCUCCUGCCCUUGGUGUUCUCCCCAGUUCCCGCAGGGGUGAUGGGGAGGCCCUGGUCAUGGACCCUCAGGGGAUGUCUCUGCCCC
rnacentral:lncRNA from 1 species